rnacentral:lncRNA from 1 species
AAAAUUAUAAAAUAUUAUGUUUUUGAAUAAUAGUAAACACAUAAUCCUUACACACAUCCAUACAUGGAGGAAACAAUGAUUAUUUAGUCAAGAUUUUAUCGAACAUCUAAAAUAUUAAAUGAGGAUGAGAGCCAGUCAAACCUCGUUUAGGAGUCUUUAACGAAUAAAGAGGCAAGGAGACGAAUAUAUGGAUUUCACUUAAUCUACAAUCAUCUUUAGUAUAUCUACAAUGUAAAUAUACUGAAGCGUGCACGCACACAUUACCGAACACCUUCAUGUUCAUGAUUCAUACUCCAAUACUAUAUAAUUAUGAUUCCCAUUCAUGAUAAUCCUAAAUUAAAAAAUAAUAUGUUUAAUUAUUUGUCCCAAAUUGCAAUAAUUAAGUGUUCAUUAAUUGAUUCAAUUAAUUAUGAGGAUGCUUUAAAAAUUGGUUCGAACCUCAAUUAGAAUCGUUUUAUCAAAAAUCAUGACAACCGCCCAAUAAAUAAAUAAGUGAAUUAGAAAGAGAAAAUAUGUUUAAAGAAGAGAAGGAGUCGAGUGUGGAUUAAGAUUAUUCUGUGACUGAAUGAGUGUCGAUUGAGAUUCAAUGGACAAUGCGAAUGAAGAAGAAUUUGGAUGGAAUGAUUUGGAGAUCCUAUGUACCUGGUGAAGUCCUGAUGGACUUUCCCGAGGUCGUUUGGUCUCAAUAAUUCUCAAGUUGUGUUUUUCAUUGGAGUAGAAUCCAACUUACACUACACAAGGAUCACAAUUGUUGUCCGUGCCUAAGCUUAAAGAAGAAAUGAAAAGUUGGUUCAUCAGAAAAUAUUUCAACUAAAGGCUCAUAUUUCCUGUCUAAUUUCCAAUGCUAAAUCUAGUAUUUUCCCCUUUUUAAUCAUUAUAGUCUAUCCGAACUGACUCACUUCACAUAUCUCUUUAUAAAGUAUUCACAUCUAUUGUGAGAUACAUCAAACGAAAUAAAAACAUUACUCUUUU